GGCGAACGGGUGAGUAAUGCGUGGGUAACCUACCCUCGAGAGGGGAAUAACCCGCCGAAAGGCGGGCUAAUGCCGCGUACGCCCCCGGGGUUGCGGCCCCGGGGGGAAAGCUGCCCGGUGCGGGUGGCGCUCGAGGAGGGGCUCAUGUCCUAUCAGCUAGUUGGUAGGGUAACGGCCUACCAAGGCUGCGACGGGUAGCUGGUCUGAGAGGACGAUCAGCCACACUGGCACUGCGACACGGGCCAGACUCCUACGGGAGGCAGCAGUGAGGAAUAUUGCGCAAUGGGCGCAAGCCUGACGCAGCGACGCCGCGUGGGGGAUGAAGGGCUUCGGCUUGUAAACCCCUUUCGGGCGGGAAGACGGUCUCAUACCCAUGAGACGGACGGUACCGCCAGAAGCAGCCACGGCUAACUUCGUGCCAGCAGCCGCGGUAAUACGAAGGUGGCAAGCGUUGUUCGGAUUUACUGGGCGUAAAGGGAGCGUAGGUGGUCGGGUAAGCCCCGCGGGAAAGCCCCAGGCUUAACCUGGAAAGGUCGCGGGGGACUGCUCGGCUAGAGGACGGGAGAGGAGCGCGGAAUUCCCGGUGUAGCGGUGAAAUGCGUAGAGAUCGGGAGGAAGGCCGGUGGCGAAGGCGGCGCUCUGGAACGGCCCUGACACUGAGGCUCGAAAGCGUGGGGAGCAAACAGGAUUAGAUACCCUGGUAGUCC
rnacentral:rRNA from 1 species